UGAGGAAUCUUGCGCAAUGGGGGAAACCCUGACGCAGCAACGCCGCGUGAGUGAGGAAGGCCUUCGGGUCGUAAAGCUCUGUCAGAUGGGAAGAAAUGGGUGGGGGCUAAUAUCGCCCAUCCUUGACGGUACCAUCAGAGGAAGCACCGGCUAACUCCGUGCCAGCAGCCGCGGUAAUACGGGGGGUGCGAGCGUUGUUCGGAAUCAUUGGGCGUAAAGCGCGCGCAGGCGGCUUGGUGAGUCAGAUGUGAAAGCCCUGGGCUUAACCCAGGAAGUGCAUUUGAUACUGCCUCGCUAGAGUACGGGAGAGGAAUGUGGUAUUCCUGGUGUAGAGGUGAAAUUCGUAGAUAUCAGGAGGAACACCGGUGGCGAAGGCGACUUUCUGGCCCGAUACUGACGCUCAGGCGCGAAAGCGUGGGGAGCAAACAG
rnacentral:rRNA from 1 species